GACGAACCACACGAACGUUAUUCGGAAUUACUGGGCUUAAAGGGUGCGUAGGCGGCGCGGACAGUUGGGUGUGAAAUCCCUCGGCUUAACCGAGGAACUGCGCCCAAAACUACCGUGCUCGAGGAAGAUAGAGGUGAGCGGAACUUACGGUGGAGCGGUGAAAUGCGUUGAUAUCGUAAGGAACACCUGUGGCGAAAGCGGCUCACUGGGUCUUUUCUGACGCUGAAGCACGAAAGCUAGGGGAGCAAACGGG
rnacentral:rRNA from 1 species